UACGUAGGGUGCAAGCGUUAAUCGGAAUUACUGGGCGUAAAGCGUGCGCAGGCGGCUUUGCAAGACAGAUGUGAAAUCCCCGGGCUUAACCUGGGAAUGGCGUUUGAAACUACGGAGCUGGAGUAUGGCAGAGGGGGGUGGAAUUCCACGUGUAGCGGUGAAAUGCGUAGAUAUGUGGAGGAACGCCGAUGGCGAAGGCAGCCCCCUGGGCCAAUACUGACGCUCAUGCACGAAAGCGUGGGGAGCAAACAGG
rnacentral:rRNA from 1 species